rnacentral:rRNA from 1 species
UACAGAGGUGGCAAGCGUUGUUCGGAAUUACUGGGCGUAAAGGGCGCGUAGGCGGCCUUCUAAGUCAGACGUGAAAUCCCCCGGCUUAACCUGGGAACUGCGUCUGAUACUGGGAGGCUUGAGUAUGGGAGAGGGAUGUAGAAUUCCAGGUGUAGCGGUGAAAUUCGUAGAUAUCGGGAGGAACACCGGUGGCGAAGGCGGCGAUCUGGGGUAGAUACUGACGCUGAGGUGCGAAAGCGUGGGGAGCAAACAGG